GUCAGGGAGUGGCCGUUCAGGGCCUCGCCGCUCUCUCCAGCCAAGGCCCAGUAGAUGGGGGCAAUGGUGACCACCAGCACCCGCAUCAGAGGCCCUGGACAGGGCAGGGUGCAGAGCCAGGUAUUUAACCAGAACCUGGGAAACAGCAAGAGAAAACAUGUUUCAUGAAGUAGUUUUAAAAACUAAUGAAAUAGUUUAUAGAAAGAAACGUAUGUAGAUCAACGUUCAACUCAGUCCAGCAUUCACAGAUGAGGGUCACCUGAACCCGAGCUCGACAGGCUGCCAUGACAUGUUUGCUGGGCUGAGUUAAACAUCAACCAAGUUUCCAAACUUGCAGACGCUUUCCAGAGGAGCCCAGGAGAGGAAGGAUCGUUCCAGACCACUGACUUUGAAAAAAGAGGCAAAAAUCGCCCUGGACCUGGAGUCUCGGACCUUCACAUGAUGCCUGGCCCUCUUGGGGCAGGGUGAAGCUGCACGCUGGGCCAGGGACACCACCUGCACCCAGUUUGCUCGGGGUCAGGGACAGUGGCGCUCUGGGAGGUCAACAGGAGGAAGUUGGGUUCCUGUGCAUGAGCUGAACCUUUCAACCUCUCUGUGCCUGUCUCCUCGGCAGAGCCUGGCCCACUUGGCCUGGGACCAAGGUUUCCUCGGGGCUCCUGCAGCUGGAAUAAGCAGCCACAGCUGGACACAUCUUGCUUUGUUCACUCCAACAGCCAGCUCUGAGUGACCCUGGCCAAAGCCCCCUGCCCACGCUGCUCCCACGGCUAGCACAGGUGCCAUCAGCACCGCCCUUUCCUUGCCUUGACCCCAGAGGAGGCUCGGAGGCAGGGCGGGGUGGGGGGACAAGAUGGCAGGGUGGGGGGACAAGAUGGCGAGGUCCCUUGGGACCAGGUCUGUUCCUCUGCUUGGGACACACUGUUUUAGGGAUCUGGGUGCCGGGGGACACCCCUUGGUCCUCUGGGUUUUCUAGCUGAUGUGACUCUCACAUUCCCUGCCUUCGUCCCGUCCCUGCCAGCCUGCUCCCUCAGUCAUUUCUGUCACCCUUCACUUUCUGUCAGCCUCGGACUUGACAGUGGAGGCCCCGCAGAGCAGGCAGCUCGGGCCUCUCCCUGAGCUCUGCAGCCACAUCCCUGGCCUCAGGUCUCUGGGGUCAGGGCGGGUGUUCUGGGCAGUGGGGGCUGAGGGCCAGAGAGGACGCUCCUACCCUGGGGCUUGGCUCUGCUAGUGGGCAGCCAGCUCUCCUCUGGGAAUCGGGGCCUGAUCGAGCCUGGGGCCUGCCUUCCUCCUUGUCCUGCAUGAGCCACAGGGUCCCUGGCAGGCUGGAACGGUGGGCCUAGAGGCAGCGCCACUCCGGCUUCUACUUACCCACAUUUGCCGGGACGUGGCUGAUGCUGCUCUGGAUGGUGGUGACCCCGGAACGCGCCUCCUGCUGUACACUGGUGUUGAGAGCAGCCACACCGAAUUCCUGGCCAUUGAUCACCCCAACCAUGCUGCCCCGGCUCCCCUGGGGGUCCUCUGUGAAGAAAAAGAGCAGGAGUGAGACCCUCCCCUCCCAUGCCCCUGUACACACAGGGACUGCUUCAGACCCAGUUCAUGAGGGAGUAAAUUGAGGCUCGGAGAGGUGAAGUAACUUGCCCAAGGACACAGAGCUAAGGGGGUAAUGGACUCAACACAGGGGAUCGUGGCUCUAAAGGAGAAGUGAAGUGUGAGGAGGGUCUCUAGCUGGGCUGAAACCGGGCCAGUGAGGCCCCCAAGCCACACCAAGUUAUCUGAACAUGAGGAUGUUGGCCUAGAGACAUGCAAGAGACCCUGGUCUCUAAACCACCAGGACCCGUGAUAGCGGGAGCUGGGGGCAGGGCAGCAGGCCAGGGCUCAGUGCCGUCACCUGAAGACCCCCCCCUUCCCAUCUGUGACCCUGGUCCUGCAGCUGGCCUGCCUGCGGUGGCUGGUUUCCUAAUGAGCAGAGCCCUCAGCACUAAUCAGAUGAGAGCUGCCAGUGCCGGGAGUGUCCUCCGACUAGGGGCCAGCUGUCUCCUUGGGCAUGUGGCCUUCCGGCGGGUGAGAGGCAGGAGUCAGCCUGCCUCCGCACUCACCAGCUCCCAGGGGGACUCGAACAACACAUUGCCCAUGAUCUGUCAAAAAAUAACAUAAAGCACUCUCCGGCCAGGACCCUAAGUGGGUGACUCAGGGCUGGCUGAGCUGGAUUCCAGGAAAGGGGGCCGCUUCCUGCAGCCUCUGUGGGGCUGGGGGAGGCUCAGUGCCCGCCGUCUGGGGGGGUUUCUCACCAACAUAAUACCUGCUGUCUGCGGUGGAGGCAGAACAGCAGGAGGCCACAAACCUACCCUGGCCUUUUAAUGAGGGGACUUUGAAGGAGCCAGGAGCUGCUGUGAGAAGGCUGGAGUGUGACCCGGGGGCCUUGAAAGGGACAGGAGCUCAGAGCCCAGGAGUGGCAAGCCACCAUUGACUUUCUCAGACCUGGGGUCUCAGUGGCCUCUCGUCCCCCACGAGGCCAGGGCUGGGACCCUCUGGCUGACAGGGAAGGGCAAUGAAGCAAGCAGGGACAGCGACAGGCUGACAGUCAGGGGCCCUGAAAACUUGAGACUCCCCAGAAGGCAGAGCCCCCAAAGGAACGUGUCCUGCAGAAACUGAGCGCACCAAGGCACGGUUCCAGGAGGGGACACUGGAGAAAGGAACUGUGCAUAUCUACAAAACCACCUGAAGUUAACAUGAAAACACCCCCAGGCAGUGCUGGGGGCCUGGCCAGAUGUGGCCUUGUCACCUAAGACAGAGUAAGAAAAGGGCAGGUUGUAGAGACCACCCGUGAACCCAACCUCCUCCAUCAAAAGAAAGAGUGUCUUCACAUUCAGAGAAAAAAAAAAAACGUGGAUGAAUACACCCCAGGGCAUCCCCUAGGCUAUUUUUGGAAAUUGAAUCAUGAGAUAAUUACUUUUACCCCUUCUUAGGUUUCUGUAUUACCUGGCCUUUCUGCAAUUAGCAUACAUAAAGGAAAAGUAGUGAUUUCUAUUGAAAACAUAAGGAGCCCGUCAUGGGUUGGAUCGCCACCCCCAUCCUCACGUAGAAGCCCUGACCCUCAGGACCUCAGAAUGUGACCUUCUCUAGAGCCUGGGUCUUUACAGAGGUCAUGGGGUGUGCCCUAAUCCCAUAGAUGGUGUCCUUAUAAAAAGGGGAGAUUAGAGCCAGACGCACAGGGACUUGCCAGGUGACAAUGAAAACAGACACAGGUGAGGCUUUUACUAGGCAGAGUGGCUAGCAGACCCCUAAACCCUGGGGCACGGCCCAGGGCAGAUUCUCGCUCCCAGCCCUUGGAAGGAAUAGGCCCUGCCUACACCUGACCUUGGACUUCCAGCCCCCAGAUCUGCCAGGCAGGAAGUGCUUGUGGCUGUAACUCCCAGUUUGUACUUGGAGCCAGCAGGGGGCCAGGUGCCCAGGUGGGUGGGGGGGAGAGCUGGGACCAAGCUCUGAGGUAGAGGGAGGCUCCUGCAGACCCAAAGCCACCCCCAAGACAGCAUCCCUGACUGGGCAUCAGAGAGCCUUGACCAUUCAGAGCUGCAUCUUUUGGCCCCCUGCCCCUGCUCAGAGGUGGUGAGGGCAUCAGAGGCCAGAGGGGUCCUAACUAGGUUGGCAGUGGCUUCCAAGUGGCAAAAUAUCAAUUAGUGGAAAGGUGCUGCCUGGAGAAGGGGUCUGUGGGGAGAUUCGGAUACUGCGUGGGCGAUAGAUCGGUAGCGUCUGCCGCGGGAGGAGGAGGAGACACAAAGUCAGAAACACUCCUCUGUAGUGUCCAGGCACAGACCAUUCAGAACAACCGUGACCUGGUACAGGUCUGACCAUUGUUGUGCAGUCUCUCAGGACAGCUCUUUUCUCAGUUUUAAGGCUCGGUGUGGCCCUAGGAAGAGGGGAGCUGGGGACUCCAAGGUGGCAGGACUUAGUGACACGGCUAAGCUCCGUCCUUUCUGACCUCCUAGUACGACAGGCAGUGUCAGGAGCUGGGGACCAGCACUAAUAGUCACCCACAGCCACCCCCAAGGGCAACAUGGACACUGUUGAUUCACUCUGCCUACUUCAGGGGGUUGUGGACUGCCCAGAUGACCCAUGUCCACACCAAAUGACGAGGAACAGCCCAGGUGCCCUGUCCAAGAUGAGUGGUGUCAUGGUUGGAGGUCAGGUGUCCCCCAAGACUCCCGUGAGACGAUGCCAGAAGGUUCAGAGGAGAAAUGAUCAGGUUGUGACAGUCUUAACCCAAUCAGUGAACGGGCCCCCGAUGGGAUUAACGGGUGGUGACUGAGGUGGGCACGUGUGGCUGGACGGGCUGGUCCUUGGGGGCGUGCUUUGGGGUAUAUAUAUUUGGGGAGCUGAGCUUGGUCUCUGAUUCCUGGUCAUGUGAGCUGCUCCCCUCCGCCACUCUCUUCUGCCGUGACGUUCUGCCCUACUCCAGCCCUUAGGAACGGAGCUGGCUAUCUAUGGACUGAGACCUCUGACUCCAUGAACCCCAAAUAAACUUUCCCCCUCUACCAUU